CCCAGCAUGCUCAAAUCAAUAAUGCAGCAGGAACAGGUCCCAGAGAAGCAGUUGGGAGGGUAAGAGACUUUCCCAACCACUAAAACAGCAGAGAGGAAACUUGAGGGCAGGGCAUGUGAAGCUGGGAGCUCCCUAGUAAGCUCCUUCUCUGAGCAUGCACCAGGCAGGCUCUAGCAUGAAACUGCCUCCAGAAGAGGGUCAGGCUUCAGGCUUACAUGACCUGGGAGGCCAAACUGGAAUUUCCAUGCAUUUGUUAAGAAUAAGUGAGCGAUGGCAUCAGAGAAUGUCAACGCAGGACCUCUGGGAAUCUGGCAGACGACGCUUUGCUUCUAAAAUCUAAAAAUUGGAUCCAUUUCCUUUGGGCUGUAAAGAAUCUUGUGAGCUGGAAAAAAAUCCACAGGGGAGCUCUUGCAUCACGAAUAAUAACUUGUUCUUAUCCUUCUAAUAAAAGUAACUGGUUGUGGUGGUGUAUUGCAAA